GCUGCUGAUCCAUCUUCCCUGUGCCCCUCAAGAUUUUUAAACGUGAAUUAAAUUAUUAUUAAUUCAAAGACAAAUUUAAGGGAGUUCAAUAAGUUUGAACUCUAUAGUAUACUAAAAAAAAUAUGGAUACAAUGUCAAAGUCAUAUCUCAGAGGCUGAUCGCUCUGAGAUUUUCCACCAUGAGAAGGUUCUGGGUUCAAAUCCCUACCACUGGGAAAAGCAAGCAACAAACAAAUGUUGAAAGUAAAAUGCUGGGUGAGUGUUAUCACCUAUUUAUUCUUUUCUCUCUUAAAGAUUCAGUUUUAUUCAUUUGCAUGGGUGUGUAUUGACUUGGAUGCUCUGUGUAUGGUGGAGCUGCUGGAGAGCAUGACCAUGGAAGCCAGCAAAGGAUAUCAGAUCCUGUGGACCCAAAGCUCAUAGGCAGCUGUUUGGGAACCACCUGGUGUGGGUGCUGGAAGCCUAGCUCUGGUUCUGUGCAAUGGAAGCACAUGCUCUAAAGUCCAGAGUUUUUUUCUCUAGCUGCUCAUUUACUGAUUCUAUUUUGAGAUCCUCAGUAGACUGUUCAACUUUUCAUACAUGUGACCUACACCUUUAUUUAUGUACGUACACUUUACAAAUGCAUGCAUGUAUGUACUUUUUUCCUACCGUGAAUUCGGUUGAUAAUAAAAAUAUUAAACUCCCAAUUUGCCAACAUGUAUUCUUUGCUUUGAGAUAUUGGGCUACUAUUUUUGUAUCAAAAUUAGAAAUUCCUAACACAUAUUUCCUCCACAAUUUGCCAGAGGCAGUUUGCACAGUAGCCAGAAGGUAACUAAGGAAACAGAUUUUUCAUGUUUUCAGAGGUAGAUGUACCCGAGAUGGAGCAUCCUAUGUACAUGCAAAGAGUAGGCUGUAAAAAUAAAAUAUGUUAGGUUGGAUAAUCAUCUAUAAUGUUAACAGUCCAAUUGCUUGUCAUGAAGAGGAAGGUUGUACUUUAAUUAAGCAAUAAGACAUGACAGGGUGUAAAUUAUGGAGUAAUAAUUCUUGUCUACUAUAUUGUUAGACAAGAGGCCAAGAGCCAGAUGUCAUUGCUUAUACCAUGAUAAAAAUUAUUAUGCCACAAUUUCAAUCGAGAGCAUUGCAAACGAAUUCUAAAAUAUUCUUCAAAUAAUUUGGCUAAAUUAAAAGUCUCUAUUAAGCUUAUUUCUUAAAUUCUAAGUGAGAGAGAUACUCUAAUUAUAUAAGAUCCUGGACAUUAGUAUUUACCUGUGUGGGAAAACAGAGUAAGCGUAUACACUAAAGUUAACUUAAUAAUUGAUUAUUUGGUUCCUGGGGGAAAGAUGCAUCGAUUUAUCAGAUCAGAAAUGAUGAUGAUUACUGACUUUGGAGAAAAUUAAAAUGAGUCCCUUUGGGCUGUUUUGCUUCAUAAAGCAGGACUAACUAACAAAUAAAUCUAACGUAAGUCUUG
rnacentral:lncRNA from 1 species